rnacentral:rRNA from 1 species
UUGUCCUACGGGAGGCAGCAGUGGGGGAUAUUGCACAAUGGGGGGAACCCUGAUGCAGCGACGCCGCGUGGGUGAAGAAGCGCCUCGGCGCGUAAAGCCCUGUCAGCAGGGAAGAAAAUGACGGUACCUGAAGAAGAAGCCCCGGCUAACUACGUGCCAGCAGCCGCGGUAAUACGUAGGGGGCAAGCGUUAUCCGGAUUUAUUGGGUUUAAAGGGUGCGCAGGCGGCGAGUUAAGUCAGCGGUAAAAUUUCGGGGCUCAACCCCGAUGAGCCGUUGAAACUGGCUUGCUAGAGUGGGCGAGAAG